rnacentral:rRNA from 1 species
CCUAGGGUGGCUGCAGUGGGGAAUAUUGGACAAUGGGGGGAACCCUGAUCCAGCCAUGCCGCGUGUGUGAAGAAGGCCCUCGGGUUGUAAAGCACUUUCAGUGAGGAAGAACGCCUGGUGGUUAAUACCCAUCAGGAAAGACAUCACUCACAGAAGAAGCACCGGCUAACUCCGUGCCAGCAGCCGCGGUAAUACGGAGGGUGCGAGCGUUAAUCGGAAUUACUGGGCGUAAAGCGCGCGUAGGUGGCUUGAUAAGCCGGUUGUGAAAGCCCCGGGCUCAACCUGGGAACGGCAUCCGGAACUGUCAAGCUAGAGUGCAGGAGAGGAAGGUAGAAUUCCCGGUGUAGCGGUGAAAUGCGUAGAGAUCGGGAGGAAUACCAGUGGCGAAGGCGGCCUUCUGGACUGACACUGACACUGAGGUGCGAAAGCGUGGGUAGCAAACAGGAUUAGAUACCCUAGUAGUC